rnacentral:rRNA from 1 species
UACGUAGGGGGCAAGCGUUGUCCGGAUUCAUUGGCGGAAAGAGCGUGUAGGCGGCCAGGUAGGUCGGUUGUGAAAACUGGAGGCUCAACCUUCAGAGGUCGACCGAAACCAUCUGGCUAGAGUCCGGGAGAGGAGAGUGGAAUUCCUGGUGUAGCGGUGAAAUGCGCAGAUAUCAGGAAGAACACCCGUGGCGAAAGCGGCUCUCUGGAACGGUACUGACGCUGAGACGCGAAAGCGUGGGGAGCGAACAGG